rnacentral:rRNA from 1 species
UACGUAGGGACCGAGCGUUGUCCGGAAUCAUUGGGCGUAAAGAGCGUGUAGGCGGCCAACUAAGUCCUGCGUGAAAUCUCGGGGCUCAACCCCGAGCGGUCGUGGGAAACUGGUUGGCUAGAGUGCGGGAGAGGAGAGUGGAAUUCCUGGUGUAGCGGUGAAAUGCGCAGAUAUCAGGAAGAACACCCGUGGCGAAGGCGGCUCUCUGGAACGCAACUGACGCUGAGACGCGAAAGCGUGGGGAGCAAACGGG